UACGAAGGGGGCUAGCGUUGCUCGGAAUGACUGGGCGUAAAGGGCGCGUAGGCGGAUGGCACAGUCAGAUGUGAAAUUCCUGGGCUUAACCUGGGGGCUGCAUUUGAUACGUGUUGUCUAGAGUGAGGAAGAGGGUUGUGGAAUUCCCAGUGUAGAGGUGAAAUUCGUAGAUAUUGGGAAGAACACCGGUGGCGAAGGCGGCUCACUGGCUCGUAACUGACGCUCAGGCGCGACAGCGUGGGGAUCAAACAGG
rnacentral:rRNA from 1 species